rnacentral:lncRNA from 1 species
CAUGACUGCUAAGGAGAAUAAUUGUGCUUACAUCCCUGGACAUCUCCAGUGGGAAAUUCUGCAUUUGGGACCUCCUGAAUGCUAGGAAGUUGAACUUGAAUAUAUGUGGAAACUGGAGUGGGAAGAACACAGAUAGCCACAUCCCUGUGUCUGUUCCUUCUGGCUUGGAGGCACACCAUCUUUCCCCACUGGGGGCAACAAGACCCUGGGACUAAAAGACUGUGAGAUACAGGCGGCUCUGAUCGAAGACCACAGCAGUCAUGGCGUGACCAUUGCUGAAGGUUC